AAAACGUCUUGGAUUGGUUCUACGUUAUUUGGGACUACUUCUCUAAGUGGCCCUGUUGCUGGUAUGGUUCAUCAGAAACUAGGCUCCAGAAAAACAGCUAUGAUAUGCGGGGUGUUGAUGCUGAUUGGGAUGACAUCGGCAUACUUCUGUCAAACAGUGUUGGGGUUAUUAAUCACAUACGGACUGGUGACAGGAUUGGCUUUAGGUCUUGCAUCAAAUGUUGCUGGAGUCGUCCCAGGAUAUUACUUUCUGAAAAGAAGACCUAUUGCUUUUGGAGUGUCCAUGGCCGGGGGUGGAGCUGGUCUCUUCACUGGGCCAUUGGCACGGUACCUCCUCGACCAAUACAACCUACAUGGAACACU